UGAGGAAUAUUGAGCAAUGGGCGCAAGCCUGACUCAGCAACGCCGCGUGGAUGAAGACGGCCUUCGGGUUGUAAAAUCCUUUUCUGAGGGACGAUGAUGACGGUACCUCAGGAAUAAGUUCCGGCUAACUACGUGCCAGCAGCCGCGGUAAAACGUAGGGGACAAGCGUUAUCCGGAUUUACUGGGCGUAAAGCGCCCGUAGGCGGCCGAUCAAGUUGGAUGUGAAAGCUCCCGGCUUAACUGGGAGAGGUCAUUCAAAACUGGUCGGCUUGAGGCUGAAAUAGGAGAGCGGAAUUCCCGGUGUAGUGGUGGAAUGCGUAGAGAUCGGGAGGAACACCAGUGGCGAAAGCGGCUCUCUGGUUCAGCCCUGACGCUGAGGGGCGAAAGCGUGGGGAGCGAACGGG
rnacentral:rRNA from 1 species